rnacentral:rRNA from 1 species
GACGAACGCUGGCGGCGAGCCUAAUACAUGCAAGUCGAACGCACUCGGACCUUCGGGUCCACAUGAGUGAGUGGCGAACGGGUGAGUAACACGUGAGGAACCUGUCCCGGAGAUCGGAAUAACCACGGGAAACCGUGGCUAAUACCGGAUACCCCCAUCGGACCGCAUGGUCUGAUGUGGAAAGCUUUGGCGCUCUGGGAGGGCCUCGCGGCCUAUCAGCUAGUUGGUGAGGUAACGGCUCACCAAGGCAUCGACGGGUAGCUGGUCUGAGAGGACGGACAGCCACACUGGGACUGAGACACGGCCCAGACUCCUACGGGAGGCAGCAGUAGGGAAUCUUGCGCAAUGGGCGAAAGCCUGACGCAGCUACGCCGCGUGAGGGAUGACGGCUCUCGGGUUGUAAACCUCUUUCAGCAGGGACGAAAAUGACGGUACCUGCAGAAGAAGCUCCGGCCAACUACGUG